AGAACUUCCAAAAAAAGACCUAUCAUCAACCACAAAAGGCAGACAAGCCAACAAUAGACCCAGUUUAAACUGAGCAUUGAAACAAGUUACUCCAGGGAUAACAGCGCUAUCUUCUUCAAGAGCCCAUAUCAAAAAGAAGGUUUACGACCUCGAUGUUGGAUCAGGACAUCCCAGCGGUGCAGCAGCUACUAAAGGUUCGUUUGUUCAACGAUUAAUAGUCCCACGUGAUCUGAGU
rnacentral:rRNA from 1 species